CACGGCCCAGACUCCUACGGGAGGCAGCAGUGGGGAAUAUUGCACAAUGGGCGAAAGCCUGAUGCAGCGACGCCGCGUGAGGGAUGACGGCCUUCGGGUUGUAAACCUCUUUCAGCAGGGAAGAAGCGAACGUGACGGGGCCUGCAGAAGAAGCGCCGGCUAACUACGUGCCAGCAGCCGCGGUAAUACGUAGGGCGCGAGCGUUGUCCGGAAUUAUUGGGCGUAAAGAGCUCGUAGGCGGCUUGUCACGUCGGAUGUGAAAGCCCGGGGCUUAACCCCGGGUCUGCAUUCGAUACGGGCAGGCUAGAGUUCGGUAGGGGAGAUCGGAAUUCCUGGUGUAGCGGUGAAAUGCGCAGAUAUCAGGAGGAACACCGGUGGCGAAGGCGGAUCUCUGGGCCGAUACUGACGCUGAGGAGCGAAAGCGUGGGGAGCGAACAGGAUUAGAUACCCUGGUAGUCCACGCCGUAAACGUUGGGAACUAGGUGUGGGCGACAUUCCACGUUGUCCGUGCCGCAGCUAACGCAUUAAGUUCCCCGCCUGGGGAGUACGGCCGCAAGGCUAAAACUCAAAGGAAUUGACGGGGGCCCGCACAAGCGGCGGAGCAUGUGGCUUAAUUCGACGCAACGCGAAGAACCUUACCAAGGCUUGACAUACAUCGGAAAGCGCCAGAGAUGGUGCCCCCCUUGUGGUCGGUGUACAGGUGGUGCAUGGCUGUCGUCAGCUCGUGUCGUGAGAUGUUGGGUUAAGUCCCGCAACGAGCGCAACCCUUGUUCUGUGUUGCCAGCAUGCCUUUCGGGGUGAUGGGGACUCACAGGAGACUGCCGGGGUCAACUCGGAGGAAGGUGGGGACGACGUCAAGUCAUCAUGCCCCUUAUGUCUUGGGCUGCACACGUGCUACAAUGGCCGGUACAAWGAGCUGCGAUACCGUGAGGUGGAGCGAAUCUCAAAAAGCCGGUCUCAGUUCGGAUUGGGGUCUGCAACUCGACCCCAUGAAGUCGGAGUCGCUAGUAAUCGC
rnacentral:rRNA from 1 species